AGCUUUGCGCAGUGGCAGUAUCGUAGCCAAUGAGGUUAAUCCGAGGCGCGAUUAUUGCUAAUUGAUAACUUAAAAUGGAUUUGUGCUCAUUUCAAAAAGUAGGUUUCAGAAAAUUGGCUUCUUCAGAUUCAACAAGA
ensembl:snRNA U4 U4 spliceosomal RNA